UGCUGAAUUAUGUGAAAUAGUAGAAGUGAAAGUUAAAGACAAACUGAAUUUACACAGAAAAAAACCCAAACAAGUGAAAAAAAUUACAGCUGAACUGUGUGUUUUGCUGAUCACACAUCGAAGCCAAAAUCAAGGUUCCCUCACCUCUGCCUCGGAGCCUUGAUGACUUGUGUUCACUCCAGUAUAGAAUUUGCUUUUUCCACUUGUAAACAUGCUCUUUCCACAUAGUCAGGGUUCCCACUGCCAUCAGUGUGUUGGACUGCUGCAGUUCUCCUUGCUUUGAUUUUGUGCCUGAUGAGUUUGUUUGGGUUAUAAUUGUCUGUUAAGCAUAUACAUUAAUUUUAAAUAGAGAGUUUUGCCAUGUUUACAUAGGGCUGGUACUGCUUACAGCCUUGUUUAAACAUUUUUGUUCAAUUUGCAGAUUUCUUUUCAGACUACACAUGCUGUUUGCAAUUUGUUUGAUUGAGUCUGUGUAUACAUGCAAACUCUUCAUCUGCCCUGGAUCUGUGUAGCUUAUUUGCUAACAGCUUUAGUUCUUGUUCUGUUCCCUUCAUCACAUCAGAAUAAGAAUACCUUAAAUAAUUAUCUCAUCUUCUCACAGGACAAAAGUAUUAUUUUUCCUCAAUUUAGAAAUAAGCUUCAGAGGAAUAAAAUGCUUUGCCCAAUGACAUAAACAACCAGACAUGCAAGUAAAUAUCUUUACAUAGCUGUUUUUGUUCUCAAACAAAACUUAAGACAUUGCAAGUUUACCCACUCUAAACAACAUUGCAAAAGCUGUCUUUUGACAAAAAAUCCCAGCUGUAAUAGCGUCAAUAUAUGGGCUUUUUGCUAUAAUGGUUUGCUUAGAAUAGAAAUGGAUAAGAAGGUUCAGUCACCUUCAUGUGGCCAAACUGAUGUCUAAGUAUAUAUCUGUGGUGCAGGGAUCUAGCAAAAAGCACAAGUGCCAGAUAGAUGAGUGUUUGGAGCCAGAUUCUAUUAGCAUGACUAAGGAAAAGUUUAAAUUGGAUCUUAUUUCUCAAAGCAGUGUUUCUUUUUCCAGUGCAUCUGCUUGUGUUGGUGUUCUUGCCAUAGGUUCAAGUGUUUCAAUGGACAGGAGACUUUAAGCUGUAUUGGUGUGCUGAGCCUCUAAAAGGUCAUUCAUCUUUUUCAGUGUAAUUCAGAAACAGCCCCUUGAAAUGGAAGGCUUGGAGAUUUUUGGUUUGUGUUCUUUUUACCUCUUGGCAGUUAUUACUUCACAAAACCAGAGGAAUCCUGACUUCUCUCCAGGAGAGUUUUUAAAGAUCCUUAUGUUAGCACAUGGUCUGAGACCAAAUCAAAGCAUUUCAACCAUUUCAAAGUAAAACCAGGAACGUGACAUAAUAGGAAGGAGACCAUGUGAACUGGUAUGCUAAUAAAUUGGCUGAAUCAAAAAGCAAUCCUGUGUAUCCAGGAAGGAGAAGUAUAAAAUAUCAAAAGCAGUCAUUGGAGAGAGAAACUUCAGAAACAAAAAUGGGAGUGGAAAUGACAGAGACAUUCUGUGUUGGUGAUUCCUAUUGUCUUCUUAUUGCACUUAUUUUCCAAUGCCUCCUUGCCUAUUUGUCUUUCCAAACGUGGACUUCAGAAAACUGCAAUCCCCCCCAUAAUUUCUCUGCAAAGUAGUGGAUCAGUAUCAGUUUAUGUCAAAAAAGAGCUCUAGGUCAGUCAAGAGAAUGGCCACAGACUUCAGCUGAGGCAUUGCAGCCACUCAGAUGAAUUUGGGUGGUUUGUAUUUGUCAGAACUGGUCCUGCCGUACAUCUCAUCAAGUAUGGUCUUUUCAGGUGUAAAGCUUACACAAAUUACAAUUCCUAGUCCAACCUUUCUUACUAAUGGAAAAAGAUACUCCUUUGCCCUUGAAAAACAGAAAUCUCUUGAGCAUAUUUAAAGGCAGAAAGAGCCAGGCCUGCAAGUGAUUUCUGCUCCCCCUCCCCCCUCAUCUGUUCUACACUGUAAAUAAUUUUCAAUUGCCAAAAUGUCAUAGCAAAUGAGGAGAAGGAGAAGUUUAUAAAACAGCAGGAGCACAGGAAUACAGAAGAAAUGAGACUGAUUUAUAUUUGUUAUGUACAUAUGAAGGAAGGAGGAAAUGUUAAAUACCUCUUUUCUCCAUUAGAUCUUUUUCUCGGCUGUGUUUUUGGGGUUUUUUUGCACAGGGCUGCUGUUGGUCAUAUGUUUUCUUGAAAUGUAAAAUAAACUCUUCUUGAACCCCGUGGUUAGAAUUGCAUCUGUGGCAUUCCCAUGUUUACCCAAGGUUUUGUUUUCAGGCUUUCUGAUGUCACCAGAAUCAAAUAAUGGGAGUUCAUGUGCUGGAGCUCAAUUCAUUGCAUUUUUAUCUUGAUGAAUUUUCAAUGUGGGAGACGUUUUUGAUCCAGCUGCUGAUUGGCUGCAAAAGAAAAGUCCUUCCCGAGAGCAAUAGGUUUAACUGCUCACUUCACUGCUCGCUUUGCAAUGUCCAAGCUGAGCAAACUGAACUGCUGUUCACCUUUUGUGUUCUGCUCACUGUCCAAAAUCUUCACAGGGUCACAGAGGAAAACAAUGAUUUGCCCUUUCUGUCAAAGCAGAUGUUCCACUUUACUCCUGCUUAGAAGCAGAGGGGAGCCCAGGGGUCCACAGUAAAAAAGCAUUAGGUUAAAAGCAGAUUCAAGUUCCAGGCAGUCUGAGACUCCCAUAAAUAACCCUCCUUGGAGAGUAAUGAAAUUUAAGGAGAUAAUUAAUUGACAGUAUCUUUUUGAUGCCAUUGAAAUGUGCAUUCACUACCAAGAUACAUUUCUUCUAUUUAUACUGGCAGCUUUAGAAACACUGCUUUAUUUUAUGGUCGUGUACCCAAACUCUGUCCCAAAGACACUGGAGGUAAAUUAGGGGCUCAUAGGACCUGUGCCUUCCCUGAGCAAGCAUGAAAAUACCUCUUUGUAUGUAGUGUGCUUUCAAUAUGGAUUAAUACUGCACCUAAAAUACAGCAGGGUUGUUUAUGGCAAUAACCUCACAAGCAGAGACCUUUUGACUAUAUCAACAUAGGAAAACUCCUUUGUAACAUUCCAUCUACAUAAGAUUUGUGUCAUGCUCUCAAGUGAAGUGUCAUUAUCACUAUUUAAAAUUGCUCUACUUGUAAGAGGUGCAACUUCAGAUAUAAAACUUUGCACUGUUAUCACCUGAAUGACUAACUUUCUGAAAUAUAAAUGCAUGAAUCAGUGUCUUUUGAAUGUAUAUAAGAGUUUUCUUUCACUGAUAAGCCAGCCCUGUAAGCACUUAGGUACAUGUGUCUGUCUUAUUGUGUAGUCCUGUAAACUUCCAUGGAUCUCUGAGUUAAAAAAGCUCUCUCACUACAAAAUUCCUCACCUGAUUACAGUCCUGAUGUAGUCUCCAAGCUGCACAGGUCAGGUUUGAUGAAAAACUGUAAAAACCAACAAGUGUGUUUUCUUGUAAUAAAAGCUCUAACAGUGCAUACUGCUAUGUCAGCAUAGUUCAGAGAGGUGAAUAUGCAACAUUGUGACAUGUGUCACAAUUUUUAUUUUUAUUGCAAGAAUGUACAAAAUGCUGAAUGGGGCUGGUUGAGUUUUUAUGGCAUGGUCAGUGAAUAUUUCCUCCUUUGAAAAUGUUAAAUUUUUUGCUAUAUUUCAGUUAUAUUUUAACUAGCAUGAAAUACUACUUAUUCUAGUAAGUAAUUUCGUCUGUGUACUUGGCUAAGCUACAACAGAGUAAUGGCUGUCUAUAUAUUGGUGCUCAAUUUAAUACUGGUAUCAGCCUUUGUUUGGAAGAAUGGAAUGUAAGAGAAGUGUAAAACAAAAAUGUGGCUGAUUUUCUUACAUAGUUUUUUCCUACCCAUACCUUUGUCUUACAUGGAAUUCCUUGUUGAGAAGAAUAAAAGAAUCUAUAAAGCUGAA